rnacentral:rRNA from 1 species
AGGCGGCUUAGCAAGUCAGGCGUGAAAGGCGGAGGCUUAACCUCCGAGCUGCGUUUGAAACUGUUGAGCUUGAGUGAAGCAGAGGCAGGCGGAAUUCCCGGUGUAGCGGUGAAAUGCGUAGAGAUCGGGAGGAACACCAGUGGCGAAGGCGGCCUGCUGGGCUUUAACUGACGCUGAGGCACGAAAGCAUGGGUAGCAAACAGGAUUAGAUACCCUGGUAGUCUAUGCCGUAAACGAUGAUUACUAGGUGUGGGUGGUCUGACCCCAUCCGUGCCGGAGUUAACACAAUAGGUAAUCCACCUGGGGAGUACGGCCGCAAGGUUGAAACUCAAAGGAAUUGACGGGGGCCCGCACAAGCAGUGGAGUAUGUGGUUUAAUUCGAAGUAACGCGAAGAACCUUACCAGGUCUUGACAUCCAACUAACGAGGCAGAGAUGCGUUAGGUGCCCUUCGGGGAAAGUUGAGACAGGUGGUGCAUGGUUGUCGUCAGCUCGUGUCGUGAGAUGUUGGGUUAAGUCCCGCAACGAGCGCAACCCUUGUGAUUAGUUGCUACGCAAGAGC